rnacentral:rRNA from 1 species
AUUGAACGCUGGCGGCAGGCCUAACACAUGCAAGUCGAACGGAGCGGCGGACGGGUGAGUAAUGCCUAGGAAUUUUCCUGGUAGCGCGGUAUAGCGUCCGGAAACGGGCGCUAAUACUGUAAUCUAUCAGAUGAGCCUAGGUCGGAUUAGCUAGUUGGUGGGGUAAAGGCCUACCAAGGCGACGAACCGUAACUGGUCUGAGAGGAUGAUCAGUCACACUGGAACUGAGACACGGUCCAGACUCCUACGGGAGGCAGCAGUGGGGAAUAUUGGACAAUGGGCGAAAGCCUGAUCCAGCCAUGCCGCGUGUGUGAAGAAGGUCUUCGGAUUGUAAAGCACUUUAAGUUGGGAGGCGUUACCAACAGAAUAAGCACCGGCUAACUUCGUGCCAGCAGCCGCGGUAAUUC